rnacentral:rRNA from 1 species
UUCUGGCUCAGGAUGAACGCUGGCGGCGUGCUUAACACAUGCAAGUCGAACGGAGUUUUAACGGAAGUUUCGGAUGGAAGUUUAGAAACUUAGUGGCGGACGGGUGAGUAACGCGUGGGUAACCUGCCUCAUACAGGGGGAUAACAGUUAGAAAUGACUGCUAACACCGCAUAAUAUAGCGAAACCGCAUGAUUUUGCUAUCAAAUAUUUAUAGGUAUGAGAUGGGCCCGCGUCUGAUUAGCUAGUUGGUGGGGUAAAAGCCUACCAAGGCGACGAUCAGUAGCCGGCUUGAGAGAGUGACCGGCCACAUUGGGACUGAGACACGGCCCAAACUCCUACGGGAGGCAGCAGUGGGGAAUAUUGGACAAUGGGGGAAACCCUGAUCCAGCCGACGCCGCGUGAGUGAAGAAGUAUUUCGGUAUGUAAAGCUCUAUCAGCAGGGAAGAUAAUGACAGUACCUGACUAAGAAGCCCCGGCUAACUACGUGCCAGCCGCCGC